rnacentral:lncRNA from 1 species
UGGAAAUUGAGGAGGCCCAGAACAGGCUGCUUGAAAGCUAAAGAAUCCGGGAUGCCAGUAGCAUGGCUCAGUCCAAAUCUAAAGGCCUGAGAACCUCAGGUAGAGGAGGAUUCUGAUGUAAUUCCUGGAGUUCAAAAGCCAAAGACUCUAGAGUUCUGAUAUCCAAGGGAGGAGAAGAAGAAUGUAUGCCAGCUCCUGGAGACAGAGAGAGACUAAGCCAUUUCCAAGGACUUUUGGAGCUAAAGUCAAGUCACUCCAGGCUGAGUCAGCUGGUCCUUCUGCUCAGCUCCACUCUUGAUCACCUCAACUCCAACAGACAUUGAGGGUCUUCCCAGUUUUCGGGCAUCUUCUUGUAAGGGUUUCCUAGAUGCCAUCAUGUGAGCAGCCAGGUCUUCCCACCAUGCCUUCCUGCCUUGAAGCCGGCCAACUAUCGACUAAAAAUAUGAGCCAAAAUAAAUCUCUCCUUGUUUAAACGUGCAAGCAAAGUAAGUACCUGUGGCCAAAGAAUGGAAAGUCAUGAGUUCCUGGGCAAGAAGUCAUCUACCAUAGAUAAGCUCUGUGGUUUAAUUCUCCCUCGUUUCAAAGGCAAGAGAUCGCAACACUGACAGAGGCAGGAAAGCACUGUGGGAAGGGAAGGAGCGUCAGACUCUGGGACGCCCUUUACAGCAACAAAAUCCCUGAAGUCUAGGUAGGCAUGUGGCUGCUGAAAAUAAAAAGUACAUUUCCCAGAAUCCCAUUUGAUUCCAUUCUGGCCAAUCAAUUGGGCAUAAGCCAAAGUUGUGGAAGCAAGUUCCAGGAAGUGUCCUUAAAGAAGAAGGAUAAAAUACUUGAGGCUGAAGAAGGUAUGAUUCACCUCGGUCAUGGAACAAAGGCACAGUGAGACUACAAUCAGAUGUGUUCUGCCUGUUCAGUCAGCCACCUGAAGCUGACCCCCGGAGGUGGAGCGUUAGCAGAUGGUCUCCAAAGGCAUUUUCUGGUAAAAGACAAGCUAUGGUCCUCCACCGCAAGCUUGUUUCCAAGUCUCAGGGAUGUUCUCAGGUCCAUUAAUAAUACUCUCUUUUUUUG